rnacentral:snRNA from 1 species
GUGCUCACGUUGGCAGCACACAUACUAAAGUUGGAACAGUACAGAGGAGUACCAUGGCUCCUGUGCUAACAUGUAAAUUCAUGAAACAUUCCAUAUUUAA